rnacentral:rRNA from 1 species
AGAGUUUGAUCAUGGCUCAGAUUGAACGCUGGCGGCAGGCCUAACACAUGCAAGUCGAACGGUAACAGGAAGCAGCUUGCUGCUUCGCUGACGAGUGGCGGACGGGUGAGUAAUGUCUGGGAAGCUGCCUGAUGGAGGGGGAUAACUACUGGAAACGGUGGCUAAUACCGCAUAACGUCGCAAGACCAAAGAGGGGGACCUUCGGGCCUCUUGCCAUCAGAUGUGCCCAGAUGGGAUUAGCUUGUUGGUGAGGUAACGGCUCACCAAGGCGACGAUCCCUAGCUGGUCUGAGAGGAUGACCAGCCACACUGGAACUGAGACACGGUCCAGACUCCUACGGGAGGCAGCAGUGGGGAAUAUUGCACAAUGGGCGCAAGCCUGAUGCAGCCAUGCCGCGUGUAUGAAGAAGGCCUUCGGGUUGUAAAGUACUUUCAGCGGGGAGGAAGGUGUUGUGGUUAAUAACCGCAGCAAUUGACGUUACCCGCAGAAGAAGCACCGGCUAACUCCGUGCCAGCAGCCGCGGUAAUACGGAGGGUGCAAGCGUUAAUCGGAAUUACUGGGCGUAAAGCGCACGCAGGCGGUCUGUCAAGUCGGAUGUGAAAUCCCCGGGCUCAACCUGGGAACUGCAUUCGAAACUGGCAGGCUUGAGUCUUGUAGAGGGGGGUAGAAUUCCAGGUGUAGCGGUGAAAUGCGUAGAGAUCUGGAGGAAUACCGGUGGCGAAGGCGGCCCCCUGGACAAAGACUGACGCUCAGGUGCGAAAGCGUGGGGAGCAAACAGGAUUAGAUACCCUGGUAGUCCACGCCGUAAACGAUGUCUACUUGGAGGUUGUGCCCUUGAGGCGUGGCUUCCGGAGCUAACGCGUUAAGUAGACCGCCUGGGGAGUACGGCCGCAAGGUUAAAACUCAAAUGAAUUGACGGGGGCCCGCACAAGCGGUGGAGCAUGUGGUUUAAUUCGAUGCAACGCGAAGAACCUUACCUGGUCUUGACAUCCACGGAAGUUUUCAGAGAUGAGAAUGUGCCUUCGGGAACCGUGAGACAGGUGCUGCAUGGCUGUCGUCAGCUCGUGUUGUGAAAUGUUGGGUUAAGUCCCGCAACGAGCGCAACCCUUAUCCUUUGUUGCCAGCGGUCCGGCCGGGAACUCAAAGGAGACUGCCAGUGAUAAACUGGAGGAAGGUGGGGAUGACGUCAAGUCAUCAUGGCCCUUACGACCAGGGCUACACACGUGCUACAAUGGCGCAUACAAAGAGAAGCGACCUCGCGAGAGCAAGCGGACCUCAUAAAGUGCGUCGUAGUCCGGAUUGGAGUCUGCAACUCGACUCCAUGAAGUCGGAAUCGCUAGUAAUCGUGGAUCAGAAUGCCACGGUGAAUACGUUCCCGGGCCUUGUACACACCGCCCGUCACACCAUGGGAGUGGGUUGCAAAAGAAGUAGGUAGCUUAACCUUCGGGAGGGCGCUUACCACUUUGUGAUUCAUGACUGGGGUGAAGUCGUAACAAGGUAACCGUAGGGGAACCUGCGGUUG